UACGAAGGGGGCUAGCGUUGUUCGGAAUCACUGGGCGUAAAGGGCGUGUAGGCGGUUCGGUAAGUGGGAUGUGAAAUGCCCGGGCUCACCCCGGGACCUGCAUCUCAUACUGCUGAGCUUGAGUACAGGAGAGGGUGGGGGAAUUCCUGGUGUAGCGGUGAAAUGCGUAGAUAUCAGGAGGAACACCGGUGGCGAAGGCGCCCACCUGGCCUGCUACUGACGCUGAUGCGCGAAAGCUAGGGGAGCAAACGGG
rnacentral:rRNA from 1 species